CCUACGGGUGGCAGCAGUGGGGGAUAUUGCACAAUGGGGGAAACCCUGAUGCAGCGACGCCGCGUGUGGGAAGACGGUCCUCUGGAUUGUAAACCACUGUCCCCAGGGACGAAGAUGCCGGUACCUGGGGAGGAAGCUCCGGCUACCUACGUGCCAGCAGCCGCGGUACUACGUAGGGAGCGAGCGUUGUCCGGAAUUACUGGGUGUAAAGGGAGCGUAGGCGGGGAUGCAAGUUGGGUGUCAAAACUACCGGCUAAACUGGGAGUCGCACUCAAAACUGCAGCUCUUGAGUGAAGUAGAGGCAGGCGGAAUUCCUAGUGUAGCGGUGAAAUGCGUAGAUAUUAGGAGGAACACCAGUGGCGAAGGCGGCCUGCUGGGCUGUUACUGACGCUGAGGCUCGAAAGUGUGGGGAGCAAACAGGAUUAGACACCCGGGUAGUC
rnacentral:rRNA from 1 species